rnacentral:rRNA from 1 species
UACGUAGGGGGCAAGCGUUGUCCGGAAUUAUUGGGCGUAAAGAGCUCGUAGGCGGUCUGUUGCGUCGGCUGUGAAAACCCGGGGCUCAACUCCGGGCCUGCAGCCGAUACGGGCAGACUAGAGUUCGGCAGGGGAGACUGGAAUUCCUGGUGUAGCGGUGAAAUGCGCAGAUAUCAGGAGGAACACCGGUGGCGAAGGCGGGUCUCUGGGCCGAUACUGACGCUGAUACGCGAAAGCGUGGGGAGCAAACAGG